ACAGUGUUACAAUCAACAAAUUCAGGGGGGGCAUCAAUUGCUUCAUCAGAUAUACUGUUAGUUUAUCUCUAAUAUCAGUAGUUGUAACAGCUGUAAGUUCAUUUGUAAUAGUAGGUAAGUCCUUUAGGCUGCUCCCUAGUUUUUCACUCCAAGGUGGAUCUGGAUGCUGAUUUUGCGAAAU